rnacentral:lncRNA from 1 species
AUAAAAUUGAACACCGUGUAGUUUGUUGUAAUAAAAAUGGAUCAUGUCUAUGGACUUUUAAAGAUAAACUUAUUUUGAAUGAACCGGAAGGUAUGGCUGUUGAUAAAAUUGGAAACGUGUAUGUUGUUGGAUUCCGCUCGUCCAAUGUAAUCAUAAUAUCAAGCGAUGGAAAGAAUCACAAACAAAUCCUAACUAAAGAUGACGGUCUAUUAUCUCUAUCUGCUAUUUUCCUUGAUACAGAGAACAAAAAACUGCUUGUCGCAAAUACCAAGAAAACUGCGUUCGUUUACAAUAUUUCAUGAGAACUAUUAAAACAAAUGCACG